UAAAGGGCUUUGUAGUUAAUGGAUCUGACUAUAUCACUCCUCUGAUUAAACCCUUCCAUGGCUUCCUGCCUGGAGAAAAGAAAUGAGUGUAUUAGCCCAGUGUUCUUUGUGCUGACCUCAUAGAACUCUUGCGGUUCCCUAAAUCCACCAGACUUUCUCCUCUGUGCCUUUAAUGGUCCCUCAUGCUGGAUGGCACUUCCUGGACUAACUCCUCUAAGUCUUUUAAUACCCAGCUUCAGUAUCACCCUUCUCUGAAAGGCUUCCCUGACAACCCCAUCCCCAUUCUGCUUUAAGUCCCCUGCCCUGUAUUCUCUGAAAACCAGCUGAGCACUUACCAUCCUCUACCAUAACAGGUUAUGAAAGGGUCUGACCCCUGACCCUUACCAGAAGGUAAGCUCUUUAAUGGGGACCUUCCACUGCUCAUCCAUCCACUGCCACAGAGGCGGCCACGAGAAAGAUUCACAGGACAGAGUAAUUCCCAUUCAUGGUAUGCUUGUUCACAGGCAGGAGUGCCUCAGGCACUCUGUUACACUCGACAACCUCCUGUAAGGUAGGCACGUUUCUGCUUUCUUACAGCUAAGUGAGCAGCAGACUGAGGAUUUGAACCCCUCUGACUAUAUAUAUAUAUAUAUAUAUAUAUAUAUUUUUUUUUUUUUUUUUUUUUUUUUUGGAGACUGAGCCUUGCCCUGUUGCCCAGGCUGAAGUGCUGCGCGAUCUCAGCUCAAUGCAACCUCUCCCUCCUGGGUUCAAGUGAUUCUCCUGCCUCAGCCUCCCGAGUAGCUGGGACUGCAGGUGCCCUCCACCACGCCCAGCUAAUUUUUGUAUUUUUAGUAGAGACAGAGUUUCAGCAUGUUGGCCAGGCUGGUCUCGAACUCCUGACCUCAAGUGACCGGCCUGCCUCGCCCUCCCAAAGUGCUGGGAUUACAGGUAUGAGCCACCACGCCUGGCCCCCAUAUUCUUAACUACCAAGCUGUAUGCUCUCUGGGAUCCUUCACAAAACAUGAAUGUCACUGCUCUGCUGUAUGCCUCCAGUCUCCCCAUCUCUCCUCUCCUCCAUCAUCAUACCUUUUCCAGCCUGUCCCUUGUGCAGUUCUUGGCUCACCAUCUGAGUAUCUAUGAGACUGCUUAAAGUCUCUCUGCCUGGAAUUAAAACUUGCAAAUGAAAGCCUUCUGAAACCACAUCUUGUUCUGAAUUGUCACCUUUGCCUCUGCUCAUCUCUCCCACAGAUAUCCAGCUCACUCUCCUCACCACACUUGUGCUCAUGUUGUUCCCUCGGCCUCAAAUGCACCAACAGACGUGUAAUAGGCACCCCUUAUGUGCCAAGCAUGAUGUCAGGAGCUGGGAAUACAGGGUGAAUCAGCUAAGCCCUGCUUCCAAGAGCGGCAUGCCGUUAAAGGGGAAAGACGCUUAUGUGCUCCCAGGACAAGGGGAUGGAAGCCAGCGAGAAGCAGAGUGAAGUCCUGAAGCUGAGCAUUGUAAUGUCUCGGUAGACCUGUGGGAAAGCUGGCUGCAGCCUCAGGAUGGAGGUCUGGAAGACAGAAGGUACACAAGGGGCCCCUCUCCAUCCACUCACCAGGGCCUGUUGCUUCUGGGCUUCCUCCUGCCAGAGGCUCCAGAUCUUCACCGCCAUCUGGGUGGGAGGUCAGGUUGGGUCUUGGGGGGUCUGCAGGGAGAGAAAAGCAUUGUCACCCAACCAGGACAUGGAGGACCAUCCAGACACUCAGUGAGAACCUCCUGGCUCUCCUGACUUUUCUAUGCUUUAUCCUGCACGUGGCUCCUGUGUGUGGAUGAGGUGCUGCACUGGGCAACUCUGGGGAUGCCUGUCCUGUAGGGUUCCCAGUCCAGUGAUGGAGAGGGAGCCAAACAAUCACAAUCCAGGGUGAUCAAAGCUGUGACAGCUGGGGCUGGGGACACAAAGGACUUGUGACAGCUCUUUAAUGGGCAGGAUCUGCCAGGUGGAGAGGCACGUACUUCCUCAGCCAUUCAUGAUUUAUUCACUGACCCAUGGGCCACACAUUGCCUGAGGCCUCCAUGGGCCAGGGACAGAAAAUGUCAGGGUCCCAGAGCCCAAGCAGUCCUGAGCCGUACCCUCCACAAGCUUCCCCAAGGAAGGGAACAGAGUCACCAUCCAGGAGGGAUACAGGCCACAGCGGAGAAAACGCCACUGCUGUCUUUGAAGACUGAGAAGCCAUGAGUCAAGCAAUACAGGUGACCUCCAGAAGCUGGCAACGGGCCAGGAAAGACUAUCUAUGUGCUGGAGCCUCCAGACGGAACAUGGUGGCCCUGCCAACACCUCGCCUCCAGCCCAGCCACAUGCAUUUGGAACUCCUGGCCUCCAGGACUGUAACAUAAUAAAAGUGUGCUGGUGGAAGCCACUAUGUUUGUGGUAUGUGUAACGGCAGCAAUAGGAAACGGAUACACUACUCAUACAUUCACACAAAUGGGUGAAGGGGCAG
rnacentral:lncRNA from 1 species